GCGCCGCAUGGGCGGCGGACGCCGCGCCGCGGCACGCGGCCGACGGCGCCGAUGCGCCGCCCGCCGCGAACGACGCGCAGGCGGCGCGC
rnacentral:tRNA from 1 species